rnacentral:rRNA from 1 species
GAUUCUGGCUCAGGAUGAACGCUAGCUACAGGCUUAACACAUGCAAGUCGAGGGGCAGCAGGAACUUAGCUUGCUAAGUCGCUGGCGACCGGCGCACGGGUGAGUAACGCGUAUCCAACCUUCCCCUUAGUAGAGGAUAGCCCGGUGAAAAUCGGAUUAAUACUCUAUGUUGUUCAAUGCAGGCAUCUAAGUUGAACCAAAGAUUUAUCGCUAAGGGAUGGGGAUGCGUCUGAUUAGGUAGUCGGCGGGGUAACGGCCCACCGAGCCAUCGAUCAGUAGGGGUUCUGAGAGGAAGGUCCCCCACAUUGGAACUGAGACACGGUCCAAACUCCUACGGGAGGCAGCAGUGAGGAAUAUUGGUCAAUGGGCGAGAGCCUGAACCAGCCAAGUAGCGUGCAGGAAGACGGCCCUAUGGGUUGUAAACUGCUUUUAUAUAGGGAUAAAGUGCAUCACGUGUGGUGUUUUGUAGGUACUAUAUGAAUAAGGACCGGCUAAUUCCGUGCCAGCCGCUGC